ACACCUCAACUCUUCAUGGUUUUCCAUGAUGGGCUUGGACUUUGGGGGUCUUGCUGGCCUGCGGUCAGCUCCUCUCAAAUGAAUCAGCUUUCCAGUGUUUGGCAGCAUCACGGGUGUGAUAACUAUCUACGCUUGUGGUUUUCUGCCAGGUAAUCCUCAGUGAUGGGGAUUCGCUGGGGCUCAUAAACGUCUCUCCUCAGUGAAGACAGCUUUGUGAAC
rnacentral:misc_RNA from 1 species